AACGAACGCUGGCGGCAGGCUUAACACAUGCAAGUCGAACGCAUCCUUCGGGGUGAGUGGCAGACGGGUGAGUAACGCGUGGGAACGUGCCCUUCAGUUCGGGAUAACCCAGGGAAACUUGGGCUAAUACCGGAUACGUGCGCGAGCAGAAAGAUUUAUCGCUGAAGGAUCGGCCCGCGUCUGAUUAGCUAGUUGGUGGGGUAAUGGCCCACCAAGGCGACGAUCAGUAGCUGGUCUGAGAGGAUGAUCAGCCACAUUGGGACUGAGACACGGCCCAAACUCCUACGGGAGGCAGCAGUGGGGAAUAUUGGACAAUGGGCGCAAGCCUGAUCCAGCCAUGCCGCGAGAGUGAUGAAGGCCUUAGGGUUGUAAAGCUCUUUCGUCCGGGACGAUAAUGACGGUACCGGAAGAAGAAGCCCCGGCUAACUUCGUGCCAGCCGCCGCCGUAAAAC
rnacentral:rRNA from 1 species